rnacentral:rRNA from 1 species
UACAUGUGGGGCAAGCGUUGUUCGGAAUUACUGGGCAUAAAGGGUGCGUAGGCGGUUUGUUAAGUCACUGGUGAAAGUUUUCGGCCCAACCGGAAAAUGGCCUGUGAUACUGGCGAACUCGAGUGCGUGAGGGGUGGGGGGAACGAGCAGUGUAGCGGUGAAAUGCGUAGAUAUUGCUCGGAAGGCCGGAGCCGAAGGGGCCCCACUGGUACGCAACUGACGCUGAGGCACGAAAGCGUGGGGAGCAAACAGGAUUAGAAACCCUCGUAGUCC